GUCGGGAUAACUUAGCUGGUAGAGCAGAGGAUUGAAAAUCCUUGUGUCACCAAUUCAAAUCUGGUUUUUGGCA
rnacentral:tRNA from 1 species